AAUCCGUGUUGUGGGCACCGCAAGAGAUCCUUGAAGCACUCCCAUGUCACAAAUAAUGAUUCCAAUUCCAUCUGCACAAAGGAUGAUAUCUCAUUACAAAGCUU